AUUGAACGCUGGCGGCAUGCCUUACACAUGCAAGUCGAACGGCAGCACGGGAGCAAUCCUGGUGGCGAGUGGCGAACGGGUGAGUAAUAUAUCGGAACGUGCCCAGUCGUGGGGAUAACGUAGCGAAAGCUACGCUAAUACCGCAUACGAUCUAUGGAUGAAAGCGGGGGAUCGCAAGACCUCGCGCGAUUGGAGCGGCCGAUAUCAGAUUAGGUAGUUGGUGAGGUAAAGGCUCACCAAGCCGACGAUCUGUAGCUGGUCUGAGAGGACGACCAGCCACACUGGGACUGAGACACGGCCCAGACUCCUACGGGAGGCAGCAGUGGGGAAUUUUGGACAAUGGGCGCAAGCCUGAUCCAGCAAUGCCGCGUGCAGGAUGAAGGCCUGGUGUUAACGUAGUACGUUUGUUACGGUAACGG
rnacentral:rRNA from 1 species